UAAUACAGAGGGUGCGAGCGUUAAUCGGAAUUACUGGGCGUAAAGGGCGCGUAGGCGGUUUAUUGGGUGUGAUGUGAAAGCCCCGGGCUUAACCUGGGAAGUGCAUCGCAAACUAAUAGACUGGAGUAGAUGAGAGGGUGGCGGAAUUUCCGGUGUAGCGGUGAAAUGCGUAGAGAUCGGAAGGAACGUCAAUGGCGAAGGCAGCCACCUGGCAUCAUACUGACGCUGAGGCGCGAGAGCGUGGGGAGCGAACAGGAUUAGAUACCCUGGUAGUCCACGCUGUAAACGAUGAGGACUAGAUGUUGCUGGGGGAACCUAGCAGUAUCGAAGCUAACGCGAUAAGUCUUCCGCCUGGGAAGUACGGCCGCAAGGUUG
rnacentral:rRNA from 1 species